rfam:Triticum urartu cultivar G1812 contig208622, whole genome shotgun sequence.
GAUAUAUUCCCUCUGUCCGGAAAUACUUGUCCUAGAAAUGGUUGUAUCUAGACUUAUUUUAGUUAUAGAUACAUCCAUUUUCAACCAUUUGUAAGACAAGUAUUUCCGGACGGAGGGAGUAGAAG